rnacentral:rRNA from 1 species
CCUACGGGUGGCUGCAGUGGGGAAUAUUGGACAAUGAGCGAAAGCCUGAUCCAGCCAUGCCGCGUGUGUGAAGAAGGCCUUCGGGUUGUAAAGCACUUUCAGUGGGGAAGAAAGCCUUGGGGCUAAUACCCUCGAGGAAGGACAUCACCCACAGAAGAAGCACCGGCUAACUCCGUGCCAGCAGCCGCGGUAAUACGGAGGGUGCGAGCGUUAAUCGGAAUUACUGGGCGUAAAGCGCGCGUAGGCGGUCUGAUAAGCCGGUUGUGAAAGCCCCGGGCUCAACCUGGGAACGGCAUCCGGAACUGUCAGGCUAGAGUGCAGGAGAGGAAGGUAGAAUUCCCGGUGUAGCGGUGAAAUGCGUAGAGAUCGGGAGGAAUACCAGUGGCGAAGGCGGCCUUCUGGACUGACACUGACGCUGAGGUGCGAAAGCGUGGGUAGCAAACAGGAUUAGAUACCCCAGUAGUC